rnacentral:lncRNA from 1 species
CCACGAGAGCCAUCCUCUAGUUAAAGGCAUUGUGUCUCCAGGAGGCCCGGGUUACAGGGCAGCCACCCAUAGGCAACGCCACACAUUUAACCCAUAAUUGCCCAUCAGCCCAGAACCUGGCUGCAGAGAAAAGCUACCAGCUGUUGGUAACCGAACACUGCCUUGCUAAGAGAAGCUUUUUGACAGCCUCUUCACAUAAGUGGGGGAAAUGGGUGCCGCAAAGCUCUGGAUCAGGAGUGUAAUGGCUUCCAUGGGAGCGGCCAAAUUGCUGCAGUGAUGGCAUCUCAGCUUUCUCCUCCCAGGGCAUGGGCCAGUUAGACUUCGGAUACUGAGAGGAAUGUGGAAAUGCAAAUGGCACCAAGGAAGUGCACAUAAGUUCAUGGAUGAUGGAUCCAAUGUGGAAUCAGGGAACGCUUGGGUCACACCCUUAACCAGGCCUUAUCUCUGAGGGAAGAAGACAACUGCCUAUCCAGCUUGAGCUGAUGUCCUCCAACAUCCUGUCACUGUCCCCCAGCACAUAGUUGUAUAUUUUAGUUGUGGGUCCCUCCAGUUGUGGCAUGUGGGACGCCGCCUCAAUGUGUCCUGACGAGCAGUGCCAUGUUUGUGCCCAGGAUGCGAACCGUGGAAACCCUGGGCCGCCGAAGCAGAGCCUGCGAACUUAACCACUCGGCCACGGGGCCAGCCCCCCAAAUUCUUUUUUUAAAUUGAGGUAGGAAUUCCACUGUAUGGAUAUACCACAUCUUAUUAUUCAUCCACCUCUUGUUGUACAUUUUCCCCCUAAUGUAGUGGGUUAAAUUUUGUUCCCUAAAAAGAUACAUUCAAAUCCCAACCUUUCGUACCUGAGAACGUAACCUUACUUGGAAAUAGGAUUUUUGCAGAUAUAAUCGGUUAACAUGAGGUUAUACUGGAUUAGGGUGAGCCCUAAAUCUAAUCACUGGGAUCCUUAUAAGAAGAGGACAGACACACAGAGACACAAAGGGAAGAAGACCAUGUGGUAAUAGAGGCAGAGAUUGGAGUGACACGGCCUAAUCAAGGGAAUCCCAAGGAUUGCCCAGCGACCCCCAGAAGAUGGCAGAGAGGCAUGGGACACGCCCUCCCCUGGACCCUCCGGAAGGAACUAACGUGUCGAUACCUUGACUGAAGACUUCUGGCCUCCUGAACUGUGAGAGACAACAAUUCCUGUUGUUGUAAGCCACCCAGCUGGUGGGAAUUUGUUAGAGCAGCCCUAGGAAGCUAAUACACUCAGUUUUUGUCUAUUUGAAUAAAGCUGUUAUGAACAUUCA